AGUGAACGCUGGCGGCAGGCCUAACACAUGCAAGUCGAGCGGCAGCGCGGGGGCAACCCUGGCGGCGAGCGGCGGACGGGUGAGGAAUGCGUCGGAAUCUGCCUCUUUGUGGGGGAUAACGUAGGGAAACUUACGCUAAUACCGCAUACGACCUACGGGUGAAAGUGGGGGACCUUCGGGCCUCACGCAGAGAGAUGAGCCGACGCCGGAUUAGCUAGUUGGCGGGGUAAAGGCCCACCAAGGCGACGAUCCGUAGCGGGUCUGAGAGGAUGGUCAGCCACACUGGGACUAAGACACGGUCCAGACUCCGAGGGGAGGCAGCAGUGGGGAAUAUUGGACAAUGGGCGCAAGCCUGAUCCAGCCAUGCCGCGUGUGUGAAGAAGGCCUUCGGGUUGUAAAGCACUUUUGUCCGGAAAGAAAAGCUUCCGAUUAAUACUCGGGAGUCAUGACGGUACCGGAAGAAUAAGCACCGGCUAACUUCGUGCCAGCCGCCGCCGCAGUAA
rnacentral:rRNA from 1 species